rnacentral:lncRNA from 1 species
GACGGGGCUCCUCCAGCUCUUCACCUGAGCAGGUGAGAGAUGCCAGGCUCCGGGCAGAGCCUGAGCUCCAGGGAGUAAACAACAGACUCUGCCCUCCCCACAGCAUUCCUUCCUCACCUCCUAACCCCACAAGGGAACGACCUGUGGUAAGGAACUGGCAAAAGGCCACACGGUCGGGCAUGGUCAUCUGUUUCUGUAAUUCCAGCACUGAGGAGGUGAAGGCAAGAUGGUCAGAAACCCAAGGUCGCCUUCCUCAAGAAGAAUGCCUGGGAAGAAGGAAAUUGCUGCUUCUGUAUUUGCAGCAGAAAACUGCCAUGUGUGAUACAAUCAAGGAAGCUGGAGUCCUCGCGUCAAGGAGACUCACUCAUUGGUGAGUCAAGAGAUCUGAGCACCAGCAAGGAAAGUUACUAUGACUGGCUGGAAGACAUCAGACACACCAUUUGUCCCCAAUUUUCUAAAUAAACACAGCUUUAUUCACUUUUCCAAGAAUGCCAUUGACCCUGAAAACAAAACAAAAACACCCAACAGUGAAAGACUAUGAUUUUCUCUUGAAAAGGUCUAUCACGGCUAACUGCUAAAGACAGUUAUCUUAGCUAAGGUGAAUAUGUCACAGGAAAUGCCAUUUAAACAGACGCUUUUUGUAUGUGCUUGAGUAAGACAUGAAAAUAUUUUUACUGGAAUUUCUAGUUCUCUCAUCUUAGAAAAUAAAUAAAUAAAACGUG